GGCUGUGUUGCUGCCUUCUCACCUCCUUCAGCCUUUGGGUGCUGGCUUUGCAAACAGAGCCAGGCUGCAAUGGAAGCCUCUGGGACAAGCUGCACUUUGGUUGCUGGGUGGGAAAAGCAGAGACUCUUUGCUCCUGUAAACCUUUGGGCCGAGCAAUGUGCUGUUGGGAGAAGCAGGCACUGCUGCAGCAUCCAGCAGGAGGGCUGCUGGUACAGGAACCAAGGAAACACCUCUUGCUCCUGCUGCCCUUCCCCUCCUCCAAGCUCUCCUCCCCAUUCCCGGUGUAUGACCAUCUUUUAUUCAUGGCCGAGCGGCGCAGACGCCGCUGCUUGCUGCCUUCUUAGGAUGCUGGCAUUAAUAUUUCAUCCUGAAGCCAGCUCAUGCUGAAGGGUUCGUGUCCCAGAGGAGCAGCUCAGUGCUUUGGCUGCGCCCCAGGAGGAAAGCAGGCUGCUGAAGUAGCACAGCCCGGCUGUACCUGUUGGAGGAGCAGCAGAAAUGAAGAAGAGAAGCUCUCCUCCUGCUUUUUCACGCCGCUCUGGCUCCUAUGCAUGCACCCUCAGGUGUUUCUCUGCUCUGCAGAGUUCCAAGGCCAGCAGCAGCUCCUGCUCCCAUGGCCCCAGAGCGGUGCUGAUUCUGCACAAGGACAGGCACAGCGCAGAGCUUGGGUAGUGCUUUGUUUUGCUGAAUGGCAGCUCCAUAAUCCUCUGCGAAUAAAAAGACUGUGAGGUUUUUGAGCUGGUGCAAGGCUUCACAUUCUGGAGGGCGGC
rnacentral:lncRNA from 1 species